rnacentral:rRNA from 1 species
CCUACGGGUGGCAGCAGUGGGGAAUUUUGCGCAAUGGGGGCAACCCUGACGCAGCAACGCCGCGUGAUUGAAGAAGGCCUUCGGGUUGUAAAGAUCUUUAAUCGGGGACGAAUUUUCACUUUACCCGACGAAUAAGCUCCGGCUAACUACGUGCCAGCAGCCGCGGUAAUCCGUAGGGCGCAAGCGUUGUCCGGAAUUACUGUGUGUAAAGGGCGUGUAGGCGGUCAUGCAAGCCAGAAGUGAAAGCUGUGGGCUUAACCCCCAAACGGCUUUUGGAACUGCCUGUCUAGAGUGAUGGAGAGGCAGGCGGAAUUCCAAGUGUAGCAGUGAAAUGCGUAGAUAUUGGGAGGAACACCAGUGGCGAAGGCGGCCUGCUGGACAUUAACUGACGCUGAGGCGCGAAAGCGUGGGGAGCAAACAGGAUUAGAUACCCGAGUAGUC